UACGAGGGGGGCAAGCGUUGUUCGGAAUUAUUGGGCGUAAAGGGUGCGUAGGCGGUUUGGUAAGUCUUAUGUGAAAUCUACAGGCUCAACUUGUGGUCUGCAUGAGAAACUGCCGGGCUUGAGUAUGGGAGAGGUGAGUGGAAUUCCUGGUGUAGCGGUGAAAUGCGUAGAUAUCAGGAGGAACACCUGUGGCGAAAGCGGCUCACUGGACCAUAACUGACGCUGAUGCACGAAAGCUAGGGGAGCAAACAGG
rnacentral:rRNA from 1 species